GGACGAUUAACUCAGUGGUUAGAGUGCUACCUUCACACGGUAGAAGUCCCCAGUUCGAGUCUGGGAUCGUCCA
rnacentral:tRNA from 1 species